rnacentral:lncRNA from 1 species
CUUUUGCUCAUCUCCCUUCUUUUUGUGUCCUCAUCUUUUGCAUGGCCAGAUUUUCCCGAUCCAAAAGGCUUCGUAAAAUGCCUCACCAAAACCUCCGUACCAAUAUCCGAUGUCAUUUACACCCCAGCCAAUGCUUCCUUCACACCAAUCUACGCCUACUCCAUGCGAAACCCGAGGUUUGCCGUGUCGGAUCGCCGCACCCCGGCCGUCAUUGUGACUCCGGUAGUCGAAUCUCAAGUCCAAUCCGUCGUAUAUUGCGCCAAAAAAAACGACAUGCAAAUUAGAAUUCGAAGCGGAGGUCA